UACGGAGGGUGCGAGCGUUGUCCGGAAUCACUGGGCGUAAAGGGCGCGUAGGCGGCUCAUGAAGGCUGUGGUGAAAGUCCGGGGCUCAACCUCGGAUCGGCCGUGGCGACUCGUGGGCUGGAGCACUGUAGAGGCGGGUGGAAUUCCGGGUGUAGCGGUGGAAUGCGUAGAGAUCCGGAAGAACACCAGUGGCGAAGGCGGCCCGCUGGGCAGUGGCUGACGCUGAGGCGCGACAGCGUGGGGGAGCAAACAGG
rnacentral:rRNA from 1 species